GCCGGAGUAGCUCAGUUGGUAGAGCGGCGCAUUCGUAAUGCGUAGGUCGGGGGUUCGAUUCCCUUCUCCGGCACCA
rnacentral:tRNA from 3 species